AGUGAACGCUGGCGGUAGGCCUAACACAUGCAAGUCGAACGGCAGCACAGUAAGAGCUUGCUCUUACGGGUGGCGAGUGGCGGACGGGUGAGGAAUACAUCGGAAUCUACUUUUUCGUGGGGGAUAACGUAGGGAAACUUACGCUACUACCGCAAACGACCUACGGGUGAAAGCAGGGGAUCUUCGGACCUUGCGCGAUUGAAUGAGCCGGCGUCGGAUUUGCUAGUUGGCGGGGGAAAGGCCGACCAAGGCGAGGUCACGUAGCUGGUCUGAGUGGGUGGGCGGCCACAUGGGGACUGAGCAACGGCCCAAGCGCCUACGGGAGGCAGCAGGAGGGAAGUGGCGGAAAGUGGCGAAAGUCUGACCGAGCAACGACGCGGGAGAGAAGAAGGGUUUCGGAUCGUAAAACUCUGUUGGUAGAGAAGAACGUUGGUGAGAGUGGAAAGCUCAUCAAGUGACGGUAACUACCCAGAAAGGGACGGCUAACUACGUG
rnacentral:rRNA from 1 species